rnacentral:rRNA from 1 species
UACAGAGGGUGCGAGCGUUAAUCGGAAUUACUGGGCGUAAAGCGCACGUAGUCGGCUUUGCAAGUCGGGUGUGAAAUCCCCGGGCUCAACCUGGGAACUGCAUCCGAGACUGCAUUGCUAGAGUAUGGGAGAGGGAAGCGGAAUUUCUGGUGUAGCAGUGAAAUACGUAGAUAUCAGAAGGAACAUCAGUGGCGAAGGCGGCUUCCUGGACCAAUACUGACGAUCAGGUGCGAAAGCGUGGGGAGCAAACAGG